UCCAUGUGUAGCGGUAAAAUGCGUAGAUAUAUGGAGGAACACCGGAGGCGAAGGCGGCUGUCUGGACAGUGACUGACGCUGAGGCACGAAAGCGUGGGGAGCAAAUAGGAUUAGAUACCCUAGUAGUCCACGCUGUAAACGAUGAAUACUAAGUGUUGGGGAGACCCGGUGCUGCAACAAACGCAAUAAGUAUUCCGCCUGUGGAGUAUGCACGCAAGUGUGAAACAUAAAGGAAUUGACGGGGGCCCGCACAAGCGGUGGAGUAUGUGGUUUAAUUCGACGCAACGCGAAGAACCUUACCAGGCCUUGACAUCCCCUGCGAAACUGUAGAGAUACAGCAGAGGUUAUCAGGGAGACAGGUGGUGCAUGGUUGUCGUCAGCUCGUGUCGUGAGAUGUUGGGUUAAGUCCCGCAACGAGCGCAACCCUUGUCUUCAGUUACCAGCAUCAAGUUGGGGACUCUGGAGAGACUGCCGGUGAUAAACCGGAGGAAGGCGGGGAUGACGUCAAAUCAUCAUGCCCCUUAUGGCCUGGGCUACACACGUACUACAAUGGCAGAUACAACGAGGAGCGACACUGCGAGGUGAAGCGAAUCUCUUAAAGUCUGUCUCAGUUCGGAUUGAAGUCUGCAACCCGACUUCAUGAAGCUGGAAUCGCUAGUAAUCGCGGAUCAGCAUGCCGCGGUGAAUACGUUCUCGGGCCUUGUACACACCGCCCGUCAUACCAUGAGAGUCGGCAAUACCCGAAGCCGGCGGCCGAACCCCGCAAGGGGAAGGAACCGUCGAAGGCAGGGCCGAUGAUUGGGGUCAAGUCGUAACCAAGGUAACCGUAAAGGGCGAAUUCNUAACUCG
rnacentral:rRNA from 1 species